GCGUUCAUAGCUCAGUUGGUUAGAGCACCACCUUGACAUGGUGGGGGUCGUUGGUUCGAGUCCAAUUAACGCACCA
rnacentral:tRNA from 1 species